ACGUAUGGAGCAAGCGUUAUCCGGAUUUACUGGGUGUAAAGGGAGUGUAGGUGGCCAUGCAAGUCAGAAGUGAAAAUCCGGGGCUCAACCCCGGAACUGCUUUUGAAACUGUAAGGCUGGAGUGCAGGAGGGGUGAGUGGAAUUCCUAGUGUAGCGGUGAAAUGCGUAGAUAUUAGGAGGAACACCAGUGGCGAAGGCGGCUCACUGGACUGUAACUGACACUGAGGCUCGAAAGCGUGGGGAGCAAACAG
rnacentral:rRNA from 1 species